rnacentral:rRNA from 1 species
UACAGAGGGUGCGAGCGUUGUCCGGAAUCACUGGGCGUAAAGGGCGCGUAGGUGGUGGCUUAAGCGUGCGGUGAAAGCUCGGGGCUCAACUCCGAGUCGGCCGUGCGAACUGGGCUCACUGGAGCAUAGUAGAGGCAGGUGGAAUUCCGGGUGUAGCGGUGGAAUGCGUAGAUAUCAGGAGGAACACCUGUGGUGUAGACGGCUUUCUGGACCAUAGCUGACGCUGAGACACGAAAGCGUGGGUAGCAAACAGG